AAGCACAUGAAAGCCAAGGCCCAGGCAGUUACUGCCACUGGCACUUUUUUGUGCUUCCUCCAAAGGACGCUUCCCAAAAGGAGCAUGAAAACGUGGGGCAGGGGUGAACCCUCUGGUCUCUGGGUCAGGAUGGUGUCAAAUAUUUGGGGAUGCGACCCUUAAGAAGAAUCAGGGAGGCAGGUUGGAAGGAGUCAGGAGUCAGAAUCCUCAGAAACAAAGCAGAAGACAUCACCAGAAGGAAUCUGAAUCUUUGAUCCCCACUUAUUCCCAGUCUGCAGGAUCCAGGCUUACUUCGCCUACGAUGCCACAACCACGAGAAAGGAGACUGGCUUCACUCAUUGAGCAUUCCUACACCUUCCAAGUGUCCUGUUCACUUUUCUUCUUGUUUUCCACUUGGAUACUGGGUUCAUCCAAUUGAAGACAUCAGGAGAAGGUUUGGGGCAAAAAGAAAGAGAAUGGACUGCCAGCAUGGGUUUGAUUCCAAGACCAGCCAUCUGGGAACUUGAACACAGUUUAUAGGCGGGAAAUGGCCCAUGUAGUCCUGGAUUAUAAACCGGUGGCUUUCUUUGCCAACUCACUGGAACCUUGGGAGCCCAGUUUUAACACUAUUUAUAACCUGCUCUGAGAUCAUGUCCCCAAAUACUAAUUGCAAAGGAUUUUAAUAUAAAGGUGCUCUUCAAUCACAGACUUUUCAUAAACAAAUACAUUUGGGAAACACUAGGUUAAAAGAGGUGAACAGGUGUCCCUACUCUAAGCACGCUUCCUUGGUUUUUUUCACGCAUCAACCAUUUCUUAAGUGUUUGGUAGCAUCAGGCACCAUGCGAGGCUCUGUGGGUGGGUUCUCAACACACUCAUAUGGUCCCUAUUCUCCAGCGAUAUAAAAAAUGGCACCAUGAUGCACUGUAAGUUUCCAAGAGGGGGCCAUAGUACGCAGUUUUCCCCAAUACUAUUUGACCACAGACACCUCCCUUUUUUAAAAAAAAAAAGGAGUAUGAUAAAUUCCCACAUACCCAUCACCCGGUUUCAACAAUUACCAACUCAUGGCCCAUUCUACCUAUCUGCACCUCCUACUUCCUUCCUCACCACCUGAUUAUUUUGAACAAAUACCAGACAUCGUAUCUUUUUAUCGGUAGAUUGCUCAUUAUGUGUCUCUAAAAGAUAAGGGCUCUUUGAAAUAACAUAAACCACAAUACUGUCAUUACAUUAUUGGUGAUUUUGA